rnacentral:lncRNA from 1 species
UUUUUUUUAUACAUAUAUAUAAAUAUAAUAGUCAUUUGUUGUUCUGUCUCAAUCUUAAUUUCUAUAACUUGUUAUCAUUCCUUUUAAAUUAUUUUUCCUGGAUAUAACCUGAGACUACUAUAACACAUUAUUUGUGUUAUAGUAGUCUCAGAUAUAACUCAGCAUCCCAAGGGGUGAUGUUUCUCGAUUACAUUAACCUAGUAACGAUAAUCAUCAUGGAUCUCUGUUUUAAAAAAGGCUCUUGCAGAAAAAGGAUAAGCGAUACUGAAGGUAAAGAAGGAAUAAUUCUAGUAAACUAAUGUUUUUGUAAACAGAGUCUGAGUAUUGAAUAUAAUGUCAUUAGAGCUAAUCCAAAAACUAUAAGAAGACUGACAAAUCAAGUACUACAUGGGCAUCGCAAGGGGGCAGUCCUGUCUGCGACUCAUUUCCCCGUUUCACCAACUUUAAUCUUUCUCUUUACAGAUAAAUAAAAUAUGAAUAAUAUGAAACAUGCAUGGAUUAGUUUUUAUCCAUGUUUCUUUAACCUUAAAAAUUGAAAGAACAUCAAAUAUUCCAAUUUGAAAAUAUAGAGGAACGGUAGGACCUUUAAAACAGGAUUUUGUCUUUACUUAUUCGGGACUACGGAAUUUCCUGUCUUUAUAUUAGGGGUUUCGGAAUUGGACAUCCCCAACCACUACCCCUAAAUUAAUAGAUUCUGGAACUAAAAUACCACCGACUAUUUCCAGAAAUAAUUUGAAAUUACGGACAUACAUGUAAACGUCGAAAAAACUCCAUUCCAAUUCCCCUGUACCAAUAUCAUAUAUACUUACUAUAGAUAGAAUCAUCAUGAUAGAUGCAUUUUAUCUCAUUCUAACCUAAGUGACAAAAACUACAGUCCAGUCCCCGUUUACCCAUAUCAUACUAGUAAAUUAACUCUAAAUAAAAUAUACAUGUAUCUUAUCUCAUUUUAUUCCUAGUUUGUUUACUCUUUGUCAGCAUAAAAGCGAGUUUAAUAUUUUUAAACUGCGACUGUAUGAUGGUGCUAACAGAAAAGCUUACUUCAAUUUUGCAAACAAAACUGUUACUACCGAUGCUGCUACAAAAUUGCUGAUUGAGAAGGAAUCGGAAGAAGACAUUUCCGCAUUUUUGCGCCUGUCCCAAGUCAGGAGCCUCUGGCCUUUGUUAGUCUUGUAUUAUUUUAAUUUUAGUUUCUUGUGUACAAUUUGGAAAUUAGUAUGGCGUUCAUUAUCACUGAACUAGUAUAUAUUUGUUUAGGGGCCAGCUGAAGGAUGCCUCCGGGUGCGGGAAUUUCUCGCUACAUUGAAGACCUGUUUGUGACUUUCUGCUGUUGUUUUUUUCUAUGGUCGGGUUGUUGUCUCUUUUCCAUUUUCAAUUUUAUUGAUCAUUGUGUUGAUGAUAAUUUGCUGUCUCUAGAAACACAGACUGCCCUGAAACGACUGAAAACUUGAAAAAGAGCAUGUAUGAGUGGCGAGAGAUUGUGCAGUUUUGCCAUGCUUCAUGUUCAUCGCGAUUAGGAUAUCAGUAGACCAAAUAUUCUAAAAUAAUUUGACUGAACCGGCCAUAGAAUAUUUGGCAAACUCGACUAAAUCGAUGUUUGUUCUAUGUUCUAGCGACAGACUAAAAUUGAUAUUUGGAUAAUUAUCUUACAUAUAAAUAUAAAUAAAGUUGUUAAACAUUUGGUGUUAAUAAAAGUCUAUAAAUAUUUCAAAUUAAUAUAAAAAGUGUCCAAUUUCAAAACAUUAUUAAACUCUCUGGAAAUGCCUAGAAUGCAGGAUUUUGCACCAUUCAUUUCAUACCCUCAAAAAAAAAAAUUCGCCUCGCUUCGCUCGGCUCAUUUAUUUUGCCUCACUAAAAUGAUAAGCCUAGUUACGGCCUUGCACCUGCAUAUCUCUACCUGACACUUUACUUAGAUCUCAUUGUUUACCUUUCUCUGUGAUUGUGAUAGGAUGUCACCUGUAUAUCUCUACCUGGCA